UUGACCUCGGAUCAGGUAGGGAUACCCGCUGAACUUAAGCAUAUCAAUAAGCGGAGGAAAAGAAA
rnacentral:rRNA from 2 species